rnacentral:rRNA from 1 species
GAUGAACGCUGGCGGCGUGCCUAAUACAUGCAAGUCGAGCGAACGGACGAGAAGCUUGCUUCUCUGAUGUUAGCGGCGGACGGGUGAGUAACAGGUGGAUAACCUACCUCUAAGACUGGGAUAACUUCGGGAAACCGGAGCUAAUACCGGGUAAUAUUUUGAACCGCAUGGUUCAAAAGUGAAAGCGGGUCUUGCUGUCACUUAUAGCUGGAUCCGCGCUGGUUUAGCUAGUUGGUAAGGUAACGGCUUCCGAAGGCAACGAUGAAUUGCCGACCGGGGAGGGGGUUGCGCCACUCUGGAAGUGGACCACGGUCCAGGCUCCUACGGGCGGCACCAGUACGGAAGCUUCCGCGAUGUGCGGAAGCUUGACGGAGCAGCGCCGCGUGGGUGAAGAAGGGCCUCGUAGCGUAAAACUGUGUUAUGAUUGAAGAACAUAUUUGCAAGGAACUGUGCAUAUCGUGACGGUACCUAAUCAGAAAGCCCCGGCUAACUACGUG